rnacentral:rRNA from 1 species
UACGUAGGGUGCAAGCGUUAAUCGGAAUUACUGGGCGUAAAGCGUGCGCAGGCGGUUUUGUAAGUCUGUCGUGAAAUCCCCGGGCUCAACCUGGGAAUUGCGAUGGAGACUGCAAGGCUAGAAUCUGGCAGAGGGGGGUAGAAUUCCACGUGUAGCAGUGAAAUGCGUAGAGAUGUGGAGGAACACCGAUGGCGAAGGCAGCCCCCCUGGGUCAAGAUUGACGCUCAUGCACGAAAGGCG